CCAUCUUGACAGCUACGGAAUUUUCCUGGUUUAGUUACUUUUGCACCAGACAAGCCCCGCAAUACUGCUGUGAACACAUCAUGAAUGAGUCCCUUAUAAGAUGGUUCUAACUUGUCCUUGUACUUUGUGCUCAAAAGGUCUUCAUUGAUUGACAAUGCAUUUUGGACCACAUUGUCAGUGUCAAACUGCAACACAAUGUGGGGAUACAAAGUUUGCC
rnacentral:misc_RNA from 1 species